CUCUCUCUCUCUCUCUCUCAAACACAAGCGCGUGUACCUAUGUCGUUGCCAUGGAGAUAUAAACAAACCGAAAACAUAAUUUAAUGCUGUGGCGUGAGUUAGCGAGAGUGAACUAAUCACAGGAAGGAUAAAAAUGGAUGGUAAAAAGAUGCCAGGAGGAGCUGAAAAAGAAAUCCUCAUGUCUUUAGACAAUACGACACUUCUAAACAAAGUUCUGGUCUUGGGCAUUAGACUCCCGGGCUGAAAAUGGGUCCCACUCCGGCCCUGAAUACAUCUGUUUCCAAAAGCCACCAGAAUUUGUUAGAGAACAUACCCAAACAAACAGCAUCACGAAGACCAACGAGCUAUCCCCAGGACAAAGUUCUUGAAAAGAGGUCUCCCAUCAAACGUUAGCGCCUGGGUAAGGAGGCAUUAGUCAGACAAGCAACCAAUAGACAAUCCCUUUGGUAACUCUGAAGGAGCUGGAUAAAUCCACAGCUCACACGGGAGUAGCUGUUCACAUGACAACCACAGCCAGGACCUUUAAAAAAAACCUUGGUGAUAGCAUCCUAUUGUGGGUAUGCUUUUCAUCCACAGGAAUUUGGAAACUGGGCAAUAUUGAG